CAUAUAAUGAUAAACUGAAAAUUUAGGAAGACUAAUGAUGUAGGGAGAUUACUGAAUUAGUAAAUAACAAGAAGGGAAGGGGAGGAGAAGAGAAGAAGAAGACAGAAACGAGGAGGAGGAGAGAAAACGGCCAAGCCAACUUUAUAAUUCUUAAUCAAUUCAUCAACUCAGAAAUUACAAACCAAUGAUAGGUUUAAAUAAUGAAAACCUAGAAAUAUAGGGCCAAGCCCAUUAUUCAAGUCCUAAUUAAAAUACGUAAACUUAAAUAAAAGUCCAACUAAAAUACUGAAACAAUAAUAAAAGUCCAACUAUAAAGGAUGUCCUCAUCAACUCUCCCGGGGUGGGAGAAAACUCGACCCUGUCGAGUGGAUAUAACACCGUAGACUCCCGUCAAUCUCCCAACCAUAAGCUGAGUGGUUGGGCAAGUGUCUUCCGGCGUCUGUAGAAAUGCGUCAGUGGCGGUCUGAACCUGGUGUCCUCAUCAACCCCCCUCGGGUGGACGGGAGGCGAUCUGGACCAAGGAAGAUCCUGCUGACUCCGAUAAAGCUCUAGCAAAUCUGGAUCCAAAAGCUGUAGUGUUUCCCUAGAGAUCCAUGCACAAUCAGAAUCUAGUCGACCAACCCAACGAACAAGGAAGCGCUGAACCUCUCCAUCACUAGUGAACACAGUUUCUUCAUCUAAAAUAGCAUCAAUUUUAUCUGUGUGUACUGUGAGAGGUGGUAGUGGGUUAGAGGGGGCCAAAGAAUUAGGAUCAAGGUUCACAAAAGGAGGUAACAGGGGAUUAUCUGAGGGAAUGAAAUGGCCUUUAUAAGCUACAAGGUCUUCAACAUUGAAAGUAUGGUGGUAACCAAUGUGGGAUGGAAUGUCAACAAUAUAUGCAUUUGGACCAACUUGCUUUAAAAUUUUAAAAGGACCAGCACUACGAGCUUGCAAUUUGGAGGCGGGUCCAUGUAGACGCCGCUCUGGCCUAAUGCGAACCAUAACGUAAUCCCCAACAUUAAACUCAAUAUGUCGUUUAUGUAAAUCAGCUUGUAGUUUAUAAUUUGCAUUACUAGCUUCAAGUUGUUUAUUGAUCUCAAUGUGCAAAUCACGAAGGUGUUGUGCAAAUGCUUCGGCUGAAACUGACACUCUAGCCUGUGGGGACAUAGGGAUGAGAUCUAAUGGUUUCCUAGGCUUGUAUCCGUGAACGGCUUCAAAUGGACUCAUACCUAAUGAACGAUUUACGGAGCUAUUAUAUGCGAUUUGAGCGACAGGAAGGAUUAAAUCCCAAUUUCGAAGGUUCUCCCGGACCAGACAACGUAAUAAGUUAUCGAGAAACGAUCGACAACCACGAAAAUAGAAUCAUGCUUCUUUGGGGUGCGUGGUAGUCCUAGCACAAAAUCCAUACUAACGUGUUGCCAAGGACAAUUAGGGAGAUUACUGAAUUAGUAAAUAACAAGAAGGGAAGGGGAGGAGAAGAGAAGAAGAAGACAGAAACGAGGAGGAGGAGAGAAAACGGCCAAGCCAACUUUAUAAUUCUUAAUCAAUUCAUCAACUCAGAAAUUACAAACCAAUGAUAGGUUUAAAUAAUGAAAACCUAGAAAUAUAGGGCCAAGCCCAUUAUUCAAGUCCUAAUUAAAAUACGUAAACUUAAAUAAAAGUCCAACUAAAAUACUGAAACAAUAAUAAAAGUCCAACUAUAAAGGAUGUCCUCAUCAACUAACCAGCAGACGAGAAAAUCAGAAUCCAUGGACAUUCUAUGAAGUGAAAAGAUCUUAAAUAUUACUAACAUCCUGAUUUAAGGCUAAGCAUCUUAACCUCAAAAUGCUGAAUGAGUGAUCGAGAUCUUUCACGUGAUCAAUAAUUGCAGGACAGCAGGGACAGUGGGAAACAUGAUGCCCCAAUCCCCACACCCACCCAACCAAGCAUACUGUCUGGCAACUUCAAACAUUAGUGACCCACUGGAAUUCAGGAGCUGGUGUAGCCCAUAUUGAUUAUACAGACGGGACGAGUGUUUUAAGAUUUAACCAGUAACAAAUGGUUCUGGGUGAGAUCAUGAAAUGGCAUGGCCAAGAUGAGAGAGAUUUUCAUACUAUACAUAUACCAGUCAGCCAUAUGUGUCUUAUUCUGUUAAUCCAUGCCUAUUCUACCCUAACCCAUCUUCUGGGAGACACUUCUACUGUCUUCCUAAUAUUUUUCUAAAGAAUCUCACUUGCCUUGUAUGGCAAAUUCUACAAUGCCUAAAAAGAGAACCAAAUACCAAAAAUAUGGAAGAAUGAAAAUUAAUAUCUCGCAUUAAGAAUAUUAACAUGCAAAAUCCAGAAGAGAUAUGCAUGAAAACUUCUAGUAAUCUAAC
rnacentral:lncRNA from 1 species